rnacentral:rRNA from 1 species
AGAGUUUGAUCCUGGCUCAGAAUCAACGCUGGCGGCGUGCCUAACACAUGCAAGUCGAGCGCGAAAGAGGGGUAACUCUCCUAGCGCGGCGAACGGGUGAGUAACGCGUGGGUUAUCUACCUUCGAGUGGGGAAUAACAGCGGGAAACUGCUGCUAAUACCGCAUGACAUCCUCGGGCUUUCGAGCCUGGGGAUCAAAGC